rnacentral:rRNA from 1 species
GGUGUUUUAUAUAUGGGGGUUUUUCCCGUCAGGAUGAACGCUGGCGGCGUGCCUAAUACAUGCAAGUCGAGCGAAUGGAUUAAGAGCUUGCUCUUAUGAAGUUAGCGGCGGACGGGUGAGUAACACGUGGGUAACCUGCCCAUAAGACUGGGAUAACUCCGGGAAACCGGGGCUAAUACCGGAUAACAUUUUGAACCGCAUGGUUCGAAAUUGAAAGGCGGCUUCGGCUGUCACUUAUGGAUGGACCCGCGUCGCAUUAGCUAGUUGGUGAGGUAACGGCUCACCAAGGCAACGAUGCGUAGCCGACCUGAGAGGGUGAUCGGCCACACUGGGACUGAGACACGGCCCAGACUCCUACGGGAGGCAGCAGUAGGGAAUCUUCCGCAAUGGACGAAAGUCUGACGGAGCAACGCCGCGUGAGUGAUGAAGGCUUUCGGGUCGUAAAACUCUGUUGUUAGGGAAGAACAAGUGCUAGUUGAAUAAGCUGGCACCUUGACGGUACCUAACCAGAAAGCCACGGCUAACUACGUGCCAGCAGCCGCGGUAAUACGUAGGUGGCAAGCGUUAUCCGGAAUUAUUGGGCGUAAAGCGCGCGCAGGUGGUUUCUUAAGUCUGAUGUGAAAGCCCACGGCUCAACCGUGGAGGGUCAUUGGAAACUGGGAGACUUGAGUGCAGAAGAGGAAAGUGGAAUUCCAUGUGUAGCGGUGAAAUGCGUAGAGAUAUGGAGGAACACCAGUGGCGAAGGCGACUUUCUGGUCUGUAACUGACACUGAGGCGCGAAAAGGACGCC